AGCUAAUAAGCUUUAAUAGCAUAUGUUUUGAAAACAUGAGAUAGAAGUUAAACCUUCUAUUGGCUU
rnacentral:tRNA from 1 species